UACGUAGGGGGGCAAGCGUUGUCCGGAUUUAUUGGGCGUAAAGAGCGUGUAGGCGGCUUGGUAGGUCCGCUGUGAAAACUCGAGGCUCAACCUCGAGAUGUCGGCGGAAACCACUUGGCUAGAGUCCGGAAGAGGAGAGUGGAAUUCCUGGUGUAGCGGUGGAAUGCGCAGAUAUCAGGAGGAACACCAAUUGCGAAGGCAGCUCGCUACACGAAUAUUGACACUGAGGCACGAAAGCGUGGGGAUCAAACAGG
rnacentral:rRNA from 1 species